rnacentral:rRNA from 1 species
AAGGAGAUCAACAGGGAUUGCCCUAGUAACGGCGAGUGAAGCGGCAACAGCUCAAAUUUGAAAUCUGGCUUCGGCCCGAGUUGUAAUUUGUAGAGGAUGCUUUUGGUGAGGUGCCUUCUGAGUUCCCUGGAACGGGACGCCAGAGAGGGUGAGAGCCCCGUAUAGUCGGCCACCAAUCCUUUGUAAAGCUCCUUCGACGAGUCGAGUAGUUUGGGAAUGCUGCUCAAAAUGGGAGGUAUAUCUCUUCUAAAGCUAAAUAUUGGCCAGAGACCGAUAGCGCACAAGUAGAGUGAUCGAAAGAUGAAAAGCACUUUGAAAAGAGGGUUAAAUAGCACGUGAAAUUGUUGAAAGGGAAGCGCUUGUGACCAGACUUGUGCCGGGCUGAUCAUCCAGUGUUCUCACUGGUGCACUCGACCCGGCUCAGGCCAGCGUCGGUUCUCGUAGGGGGAUAAAAGCUUCGGGAACGUGGCACCUUCGGGUGUGUUAUAGCCCGUUGCUUAAUACCCUUGUGGGGACCGAGGUUCGCGCUCUGCAAGGACGCUGGCAUAAUGGUCAUCAGCGACCCGUCUUGAAACACGGACCAAGGAGUCGAGGUUUUGCGCGAGUGUUUGGGUGUAAAACCCGCACGCGUAAUGAAAGUGAACGUAGGUGAGAGCUUCGGCGCAUCAUCGACCGAUCCUGAUGUAUUCGGAUGGAUUUGAGUAAGAGCGUAUAGCCUCGGACCCGAAAGAUGGUGAACUAUGCCUGAAUAGGGUGAAGCCAGAGGAAACUCUGGUGGAGGCUCGCAGCGGUUCUGACGUGCAAAUCGAUCGUCAAAUUUGGGCAUGGGGGCGAAAGACUAAUCGAACCAUCUAGAACUGGUCCGAAAUU